rnacentral:rRNA from 1 species
GACGAACGCUGGCGGCGUGCUUAACACAUGCAAGUCGAACGGAAAGGCCCUGCUUUUGUGGGGUGCUCGAGUGGCGAACGGGUGAGUAACACGUGAGUAACCUGCCCUUGACUUUGGGAUAACUUCAGGAAACUGGGGCUAAUACCGGAUAGGAGCUCCUGCUGCAUGGUGGGGGUUGGAAAGUUUCGGCGGUUGGGGAUGGACUCGCGGCUUAUCAGCUUGUUGGUGGGGUAGUGGCUUACCAAGGCUUUGACGGGUAGCCGGCCUGAGAGGGUGACCGGCCACAUUGGGACUGAGAUACGGCCCAGACUCCUACGGGAGGCAGCAGUGGGGAAUAUUGCACAAUGGGCGGAAGCCUGAUGCAGCAACGCCGCGUGCGGGAUGACGGCCUUCGGGUGUAAACCGCUUUCGCCUGUGACGAAGCGUGAGUGACGGUAAUGCGUAAAGAAGCACCGGCUAACUACGUG